UCUGACAAUCCUAGAGAUAGGACUUUCCCCUUCGGGGAACAGAGUGACAGGUGGUGCAUGGUUGUCGUCAGCUCGUGUCGUGAGAUGUUGGGUUAAGUCCCGCAACGAGCGCAACCCUUGAUCUUAGUUGCCAGCAUUCAGUUGGGCACUCUAAGGUGACUGCCGGUGACAAACCGGAGGAAGGUGGGGAUGACGUCAAAUCAUCAUGCCCCUUAUGACCUGGGCUACACACGUGCUACAAUGGAUGGUACAAAGGGCUGCAAGACCGCGAGGUUUAGCCAAUCCCAUAAAACCAUUCUCAGUUCGGAUUGUAGGCUGCAACUCGCCUACAUGAAGCCGGAAUCGCUAGUAAUCGCGGAUCAGCAUGCCGCGGUGAAUACGUUCCCGGGCCUUGUACACACCGCCCGUCACACCACGAGAGUUUGUAACACCCGAAGUCGG
rnacentral:rRNA from 2 species